rnacentral:tRNA from 1 species
GAGGGCAUAGCUCAGUGGUAGAGCGUGUGCUUAGCAUGCAUGAAGUCCUGGAUUCAAUCCCCAGCACCUCCA